rnacentral:lncRNA from 1 species
UAAAAAGUAAUCGUCUGAACCAUGUAUAAGUGUAGGAGGUUGAGCAGGCAGGCACGCACGCAGCAACUGAAUGACUCUGUGACGGCCUCUCGUCACGGUCCACUCCCCUUCGAAAAUAGCCUGAGACACCACACUUGACAAAGCUAUACCUGAAACUUGCGGACCGUUUGCUCCGGUUAUCUCGAUCAAGGGACCCAACCCGGUCCAGUUGUCGUGCCAAAACAACGCCGUUUCUCCCGACUGUAUGAAACAUGAUAGAAAAGGGCGAGCAAGAGGUCUCAGGUCCAUCAACCUUCUCCAAAUCCAAGAACCCAAAGCAGAAAAAUCAGCAUCCCAAAACAAGCGACCAGAGAUAAUAUUGUGCUUUACCCAAGCCACCCAUAGGGAUCCUGUUGCUGCAAAGAGCAGCCAAAUAAGCUUAAGACUGAACACUUUGUUUGAAUCCUGUAAACGCCGCAAACCCAGGC